rnacentral:rRNA from 1 species
GCGAAAGCCAGGGGAGCGAACGGGAUUAGAGACCCCGGUAGUCCUAGCUGUAAACGAUGUAGACUUGGCGUUGGCGGAGUUAAAUCUGCCAGUGCCGGAGCUAACGCGUUAAGUCUACCGCCUGGGGACUACGACCGCAAGGUUAAAACUCAAAGGAAUUGACGGGGACCCGCACAAGCAGCGGAGCGUGUGGUUUAAUUCGAUGCUACACGAAGAACCUUACCAGGGUUUGACAUGCAAGUGGUAGGAAUCCGAAAGGUGACCGACCCUUCGGGGAGCUUGCACAGGUGCUGCAUGGCUGUCGUCAGCUCGUGUCGUGAGAUGUUCGGUUAAGUCCGCUAACGAGCGCAACCCUCACUGUGUGUUAUAUGUGUCACACGGGACUGCCGGUUUUAAGCCGGAGGAAGGCGAGGAUGACGUCAAGUCAGCAUGGCCUUUAUAUCCUGGGCUACACACACGCUACAAUGGUCGGUACAAUAGGUUGCCAAGCCGCGAGGCGGAGCCAAUCCAUAAAGCCGGCCUCAGUUCAGAUUGUAGGCUGCAACUCGCCUGCAUGAAGAUGGAGUUGCUAGUAACCGCAGGUCAGCAAUACUGCGGUGAAUACGUUCCCGGGUCU